rnacentral:rRNA from 1 species
CCUACGGGCGGCAGCAGUGAGGAAUAUUGGUCAAUGGGCGUAAGCCUGAACCAGCCAAGUCGCGUGAGGGAUGAAGGUUCUAUGGAUCGUAAACCUCUUUUAUAAGGGAAUAAAGUGUGGGACGUGUCCUGUUUUGUAUGUACCUUAUGAAUAAGGAUCGGCUAACUCCGUGCCAGCAGCCGCGGUAAUACGGAGGAUCCGAGCGUUAUCCGGAUUUAUUGGGUUUAAAGGGUGCGUCGGCGGCCUUUUAAGUCAGCGGUGAAAGUUUGUGGCUCAACCAUAGAAUUGCCGUUGAAACUGGGAGGCUUGAGUAUGUUUGAGGCAGGCGGAAGGCGUGGUGUAGCGGUGAAAUGCUUAGAUAUCACGCAGAACCCCGAUUGCGAAGGCAGCCUGCCAAGCCAUGACUGACGCUGAUGCACGAAAGCGUGGGGAUCAAACAGGAUUAGAUACCCCUGUAGUC